GUCAGGUGCUUCUGACACAAGAAGAAUAUAUGACCAUAGACCAAGAUGGUGGAUUUGCUGCAAGCAACAUGAUGUGACACCCCUGCUGACAGCCAUGCAAAGGCUACAUCUGAGAAACUCCUCUUGCCUGUGAUGGCCCUGAGACUUUCGGAGAUCACCAGACCUGAUACACUGCCUACUGAUGAGACCCAAAAACAGGCCCAAAGACAAUCACAGCUCACCCUGAUACAGUUGCUGCCAUUUUAACAGCAAAAUCUUUAUUGCUAUUUUAAUCCAAUAAACUUUG
ensembl:lncRNA